GUUUUGUUUUGUUUUCUCAUGGUUUCUGGGGGUGGGACUCAGGUCCUAGUUCUUGCAAGGCUAUCACUUGACCAACUAAUCCUUUAAAAAAAUUAUUUUUUUCUUUUAAUAAACUCUUAUUCCAAAAAGGUACUCACCACAUAGAACUUCAUCAAACAAGAAGUUCCUUCCCAGUAACACAAAGAGUGUACUAAUCGAUGAAACGGUGAACCGGGCUUCUGUUUAUAACAUGCCGAGCAGAUGAAUGGUUUCCUGCUCUUUUGGACCAUCCCCUGGGAGCUGACAGGAAGUGCAGCCUCUCUGUCCUUAUCUCACUUUCCUCCACCAUUGGCUGCCUUCCCCUGCUAUGGACAGAACCCAGCUGAGGCCCCAAACCACUGCUCUGUCCUGAGAGGCUGAUUCCUGUAAGGACUGGAGGAUCUCUGUCUGUAAGGCAGAACUGCUCCAGGAAGAACUCAUGAUGACCAGGAUCUAGAAUCAUCUAAGAAACGGGCACUUCUGUGAGGGAGUCUCUAGACUGAGUUCAUUGACAUGGGAAGACCCAUCCUUAAAUGUGAGAGGCACCAUUCCAUGGGCUGGAGUCCCACGGUGCAUGAAAAGGAGAAACCAAGCUCCACUCCAUGUUCUCUCUGCUUCCAGACUGCAGCUGCAAUGUGACCAGCUGCCUCACACUCCUGGUACUACGGCUUCCCCGCCAUGAUAAACGAUAUCCCAUGGAACUCAGCCAAAACAAAGCCUUCCUUCUCUAGUUGUGUCAAGUAUUUUGUCAUAUCUAUGAGAAAAGUAACUAGUCCACUCUAUCUUGGAGAUAACAGGGGGGGGGGGAGGCUGGAGAGAUGGCUCAGUGGUUAAGAGCACUGGCUGUGCUUCCAGAGGAUCUGAGUUCAGUUCCCAGCACAUAAGCACUCCAAACUCCAGCUGCAGCAGAUCUGAUUACCUCUUCUGGACUCCAUCAGCACCUGGCCUAUAUACACAGAUGCACAUCCAUGCACAUAAAAUUCUUAAAAAGGAAAGAAACAGCCUGUCAGUGGUGGUGCACACCUUUGAUCCAGCACUCUGGCGGCAGAGGCAGGCAGAUCUCUGUGUUUGAGGCCAGCCUGGUCUACAGAGAGAGUCCCAGGACAGCCAGAGCUACACAGGGAAACCUUGUCUAGGAAAAAAAAAAGAACAAGAAAAGCAAAAGAAUAAAGGGCAAAAAGAUGUGGAAGCCUAGAUGUGGAAGCCCCUGAAAUGCACAUGACCAGACACCUACCUCUGGACAAGCCAGAAAGGACCUGAAAUGUUAGAAGAGUGGUGUUUAGAGCCCAACACCCUGACUACUCCUCUUGUAGACCACAGGUAUUGAGGCUUCCCCUGCAGCCUGGAAAGCCCCCAUUCUUAAGUGGAUGACUCAAGCAAGAAAUUCUUCUGUUUUUAAUUUUAAAUGUUAAAUUAUUAAAGAGAUAAUACAUGCACCAGUUUUUUUUUUUAGUACAAAGGUUAUAAAGUAAAACAUAAGUCUAGGGUCAUAGCUUAGGAAUAGAGCACACAGAGAGUAUUUGUGAGUUCCUAGGUUUGAUCUCCAACAUCCCUCUCAACAACAGCAACAACAAUAAAAAAGGAAAGAAGGAAGGAAGGAAGGAAGGAAGGAAGGAAGGAAGGAAGGAAGGAAGGAAGAAAGGAAGGAAGAAAAAGGCUUUUCAGCCUUUUGACAAUAUCGAAAUGAAAGACCCCUGCCCCUUAGCCCUUUCUUUCUCAAGUUUGCCUCCUCCUCCGGUCGGUGGCUUCCCCCGAUCCCCACCCCCCCCCCCGCCGGCCUCCACACUUCCCGCCACCCGCCGCACGCCCGGCCCGAGAACGAGCACCAGGUGAUCCGGCACGAGGGCGAGCACCAGGUGGGCUGGCACGAGAACAAACACCAAGUGAGCCGGCCUGGAGCCCUGCCCCUGAGCCCCCGCCCGAUGAGAAACACUCCAUCCCAAGGUCUCCACCCCAAGGUCAGCCAUCAGGAUGCGGAGGGGGGGAAUUGAGUCUGUUGUACCAGACACGAGACCUUGAGAAUAUGCUGAUCUGGAAUGGCUCUGUGUCUCAUUUAAACCAUCCAAUAGAAAUGAUUCUGUAUUUCGCCUCAUUUGAAAAGACUCUGUGUUUCACCUCAUUUGAAUAACUCUGUACUUCGCCUCAUUUGAAUAACCCUGUAUAGCGCCUCAUUUACAUUGACCAAUGGGAAUAGCUCUGUACAAUGCCUCAUUAGAAUUAUCCAAUAGAAUCCCUGCUCCUAGCUUGCGCCUUUUUCCCUAUAUAAGGACCCCUUUCCCUUGGCUCGGAGCGCUUGGCCUCACAGAAGCUAAGUCGCCCGGGUACCCGGGUAUCUCCAAUAAAGCCUCUUGCAGUUUGC
ensembl:lncRNA